rnacentral:tmRNA from 1 species
GGGGCCGAUCGGUUUCGACUGGACAGGGAAGGCUCGUCGUGGCGCGUCGAGGGGCGUGAUGGCCUCGUAAAAAUCACGCAACACAUUAACUGCCAACCGCAGUUACUCCCUCGCGGCCUAACCAGGCCGCGUGAGCUCCGCCCCACGCCUGAUAAGGCGGGGCUCACACACUUCAGGCUGGCGGAGAUCUGCGCCCGCAGGGAUCAGCCGCGAGAAAAUGCUGGGGGAUUGGUCGUCUCGGAGGGCGCGGAUGCCCGCCGAACGAGCGAAAGCAAAUCGUCCGAUACACGCGUAGAUGCGGCGUGCUGACUGUCUCAGGACGGGGGUUCGAUUCCCCCCGGCUCCAUUC